UUUCGGGGAUGGGAAACGAACCCACAGUGUUCCGCUUACCGGGUAGUGACCAUGUCCACUAGGCUACCCUGGA
rnacentral:tRNA from 1 species